ACUCAAAUGAAUUGACGGGGGCCCGCACAAGCGGUGGAGCAUGUGGUUUAAUUCGACGCAACGCGAAGAACCUUACCUGGGCUCGAACGGCAGGUCAACGACGGGGGAAACUUCGUUACUCCGCAAGGGGGUCCUGUCGAGGUGCUGCAUGGCUGUCGUCAGCUCGUGUCGUGAGAUGUUGGGUUAAGUCCCGCAACGAGCGCAACCCUUGCCCUGUGUUGCCAUCAUUAAGUUGGGCACUCUCAGGGGACCGCCAGCGAUAAGCUGGAGGAAGGUGGGGAUGACGUCAAGUCAUCAUGGCCUUUAUGUCCAGGGCCACACACGUGCUACAAUGGCCGGUACAAUACGACGCAAACCCGCGAGGGGGAGCAAAUCGGAAAAAACCGGUCUCAGUUCGGAUUGCAGGCUGCAAUUCGCCUGCAUGAAGCUGGAAUCGCUAGUAAUGGCGCAUCAGCAUGGCGCCGUGAAUACGUUCCCGGGCCUUGUACACACCGCCCGU
rnacentral:rRNA from 1 species